rnacentral:rRNA from 1 species
UUUCCUACGGGAGGCAGCAGUGAGGAAUCUUGCACAAUGGGGGCAACCCUGAUGCAGCGACGCCGCGUGGGCGAGGAAGGUCUUCGGAUCGUAAAGCCCUUUCUGCGUGACGAGGAAGGACGGUAGCGCAGGAAGAAGCGUCGGCUAACUACGUGCCAGCAGCCGCGGUAAAACGUAGGACGCGAGCGUUAUCCGGAGUUACUGGGCGUAAAGGGCGUGCAGGCGGGGGCGGAAGUCAUGCGUGAAAGCCGCUGGCUCAACCGGUGGAGGUCGCGUGAUACUCCGUCUCUGGAGGGCGCUAGAGGGACACGGAAUUCCGGGUGUAGUGGUGAAAUGCGUAGAGAUCCGGAGGAACACCAGUGGCGCAGGCGGUGUUCUGGGGCGCACCUGACGCUGAGACGCGAAAGCAUGGGGAGCGAACGGGAUUAGAAACCCCGGUAGUCCAUGCCGUAAACGAUGCCGACUAGGGGUCUGCCGCGAGGUGGGUUCCGCAGCCAACGCGACAAGUCGGCCGCCUGGGGAGUACGGUCGCAAGGCUAAAACUCAAAGGAAUUGACGGGGGCCCGCACAAGCAGCGGAGCGUGUGGUUUAAUUCGAGGCACACGAACCUUACCUGGAUUUGACAUCACCGUAGUAGGGAGCCGAAAGGGGACCGACCGCAAGGAGCGGUGACAGGUGCUGCAUGGCUGUCGUCAGCUCGUGUCGUGAGAUGUACGGUUAAGUCCGCAAACGAGCGCAACCCUCGGGGUCAGUUACACGCAUGUCUGACCCGACUGCCCUCGUCAAGGGGGAGGAAGGUGGGGAUGACGUCAAGUCAGCAUGGCCUUGAUAUUCAGGGCGACACACACGCUACAAUGGGCGGUACAGCGGGACGCCAGGCCGCGAGGCUGCGCCAAUCCCGAAAGCCGCUCGCAGUUCGGAUUGCAGGCUGCAACCCGCCUGCAUGAAGGAGGAGUUGCUAGUAACCGCCGGACAGCGAAACGGCGGUGAAUACGUUCCCGGGCCUUGUACACACC